UCGAACGGACUCAUAUUGAAACCUAGUGAUGUAUGAGUUAGUGGCGGACGGCUGAGUAACGCGUGGAGAACCUGCCGUAUACUGGGGGAUAACACUUAGAAAUAGGUGCUAAUACCGCAUAAGCGCACAGCUUCGCAUGAAGCAGUGUGGAAAACAAAAAGCUAAAGCUUUUGGUGGUAUACGAUGGAUCCGCGUCUGAUUAGCUUGUUGGCGGGGUAAAGGCCCACCAAGGCGACGAUCAGUAGCCGGCCUGAGAGGGUGAACGGCCACAUUGGGACUGAGACACGGCCCAAACUCCUACGGGAGGCAGCAGUGGGGAAUAUUGCACAAUGGGGGAAACCCUGAUGCAGCGACGCCGCGUGAGUGAAGAAGUAUUUCGGUAUGUAAAGCUCUAUCAGCAGGGAAGAAAAUGACGGUACCUGACUAAGAAGCCCCGGCUAACUACGUGCCAGCAGCCGCGGUAAUACGUAGGGGGCAAGCGUUAUCCGGAUUUACUGGGUGUAAAGGGAGCGUAGACGGCAGCGCAAGUCUGGAGUGAAAUCCCAUGGCUUAACCAUGGAACUGCUUUGGAAACUGUGCAGCUAGAGUGCAGGAGAGGUAAGCGGAAUUCCUAGUGUAGCGGUGAAAUGCGUAGAUAUUAGGAGGAACACCAGUGGCGAAGGCGGCUUACUGGACUGUAACUGACGUUGAGGCUCGAAAGCAUGGGGAGCAAACAGGAUUAGAUACCCUGGUAGUCCACGCUGUAAACGAUGAUUAC
rnacentral:rRNA from 1 species